rnacentral:rRNA from 1 species
AUGAGCGUCCAUAUCCGGCAAGAGUACACCAAAGUUCAACGGCGCCGGCGGCAGUCUCUUGAUAUCAUGGCCAUACAUACCAGGAAGCAAGCCACAAUAUUUAAUGGCACGAUGCCUCUCCGGAAAGAACUAAAUAAGCCGCGACCGCCUACCAGAACCCAUAGUCAUGCGUUCGAGAUAUGGACGCUGCUUCGCGCUGAGAAGUUCAAAAUAUCUGCACGGAUGCACAAACACAGCCCGACAAGUUGCUGGGUUGACCAAAAAAACAAGAUCGCUGAAACCAGCAACGUCCACUCAUUGCGUGUACCAUGCUACUUACACGCGUCAACUACGGGUGAUCGUCUCAGACAUCCAAAAACUAUCAUGCAUGCAAUUGAGGGUUUGAUCAAACUAAUCAAUAUGUGGGAAAUCCAGCCUCUCGUGCUCCUCAGCUUCACACUGCAAAUUUUCUUGUUCUUUACUGGCAGCCUUAGACAGCAUAGUGCCAGCAUGUUCCUAAGGCUCUCCAUUUGGGCAGCUUAUCUGGGAGCGGACUUUAUAGCAGUUUAUACCCUCGGCCUUGUCUCGCGACAUGAGGAUAUCACCAUUGAAGGGCACAUACCAGGGAAAACACAAUCACUAGCUUUCUUUUGGGCACCGUUUCUCCUCAUCCAUCUUGGCGGGCAGGGCACUAUUACUGCCUUUGCCAUGGAGGACAAUAACUUGUGGUUGAGGCAUUUGCUAAAUCUAGUGGUUCAAGUUGUCCUAGCUAUAUAUGUUUUCUGGAAGUCUAUUGGAAGACACAGCGUGGAGCUUCUAGUGUCUGGUGUAUUUUUGUUUGUUGUUGGAGUUAUCAAGUAUGGGGAAAGAAUAUGGUCUCUCAAGUGUGGCUGCUUUAAAAUCCUUGAGAGCGCAAGUGGACAUCGUUACAAGAAGUUGCCAGACCUUGAGUGCGAAGAGGACACAGGCCAGGAAUCUAACAGCAAAGUGAGCACUGGUGGUGGCUAUGAUAGCAUUGUUUAUAUAGCUCUGUCUUCAAUGCCACAUGUCCAUGAUAUCUUUUCGGGACGUGGCUACUUUUCUAUCGCGGAUUUCCCCGCAAGGUCGAUGCUAGAUGACAACAAAGAGGCGAUCAAGAUGGUCAGUAUUAUUCUUAGCGUGAUGUUUGCUGAUUUCUACACAAAGGCUCUUGUGGUCAGAAGAAAAAGUGCCAUCAUACUUAGAUGCAUCUCUCAGAUGUCUGCUGUUGUUGCUUUUGCUGUGUUCCAUGAAAAUGACAAACAGAGGCAUGAGAAUUUAAGCAAGAUAAUCCGCCGAUCGAUAUUGGAAGUAGACGACCCCUCCGAGGUAAUCCCGCGUUCCGAAUUGAUAAUCCGGCAGCACUCCGACAUACAGAAAACAAGAGGUCCGAGGAAACUAGAGAGAGAGAAGCCUAGUGAUGUCCAGGAAGAAGAGCUUCUGAUUGACCAACCCAAUACGGCGCAGGUGACACCGGAAGGCACGAAAGAAGAAGAUCGUCCAUACCAACUGUGGAGCAUAUUCGGCCAGCCCAGAUUGGAGGCACAUGUAGGCAACGAGAUGGUACGUCUCGAGUUAGGGGACCCCUCCAGAGCGAUUUUCACUCCAGUAGACUGUGGAAGGUGGCUCGUCGGCGCUCCAUUUAGGAGUAGCCAAGAGGGCAGUGCCGGCGAGUUCCGUAGCUGCCGCAAGGCUAGAUCGGCGAUGGUGGGGUCACUGGCGGCACGUGGCUUCUAG